rnacentral:lncRNA from 1 species
CGGUUGCAUACUGGGGCUAAUUUUAGGUAUUACCCGCUUUGGAGUUUAUUUUGGCUUCCAGAAGUUUACAUUUAGGUCUGUAAAAAAGCACAACCUGCAGAGCUGUGUGUGUGUGUGUGUGUGUGUGUGUGUGUGUGUGUCUGUCUGUGCAUGUGAAACUCAUCAAACUUCUUUAAUAACUCUGAAUAUGACUUGUUUGGGCAUAUUUUCAAUGGAUGGCUAAUUUUGUGCCAGAAUUCAAAUGGAAAUUUAAACCAAAAGAGCUUGCAGAUAAAUAGCAGAGAUUGCUUGCUUUUCACCCCAUUUCUUCUGGUGGUAACUUUUCAAUUGUGAUUUUUUUUUUUUAACCCUCCAUAUUUUUUUUUUUGCCAGACUUUGAUUUCUAAAGCUUUAUUUUUAGUCUUUGUAAGGCACAGCAUUGAUUGAGCAUGCUGUGUUCUAAUUUUGGUAGCAAUUUUGUAGGUUAGCUCAGUUUCAUAGAAAUUAGAAAGCUGGGGCUCAUGGAAGUGACUUAUUUUAUCCACGUAGCAGGGGGUGGCAGAGUGGAUGAUGCCAGGGUCUGUGCUUCUUCAUCUCAAGGCUGGUGCUGUUUCCUUGGUGGGGCUCCAGGUCAAGUGUGAUCUGCAUUAAGGUCCUCCCGGGUGGAUGCUUGUGAAUGACCUGGGUGUGCACAGAACAGAGUGGGGCUCCAGAGCCUGUACAUGUUGCUGGGUGUGCAGUAAACACACAGAAAACAGUAUAUGCCCACCCUGCUCGUGAGGAGGGAGUUGCUGAGUCUACACUCUGUGCCAUCUACCAUGCAAUUCACCACAGUAAUUUCGAAUAGCUUCUUGGGUCUUGCAUCAUUUGUGAAAGUGAAGCAAACCUUCCUCUACUGUACAGAGACUGCAAGCACACCAAGGGGAGUUUCUGGACAGCUAGAGGACAUCUGAGGAGCACGGCUAAGCCUCAAACCCUCCUUAGGACUACUGUGAACCCCUAUACUUCUGCAGCUACAGUUCCAAAUUUCUGGGCUCCGUCCCAACAAAAUGUCUAGAAAAAUUUGCUCUAUUUUUGAUCCUCGUUUUUUUUUUUUCUCAUUUCAGAACAGUGAUGGCUUUUCCAGGUAAAGCAUCUUGUUACCUUAUAAGUUUCAUUAAAUAGAUGGCCUUUGAACUAGACCUUGCAGAAUGGGUAAAAUUUAUUUUGGAAAAGAAGUGAAAGAGGGCUAUCAGAGAGUGUUUUCAUGAAUGUAUAAGCCUGGAAUCUGGAUGUCUUUGAUAAGGAGCGAUAAAAGGGUACAUUUGGGUGUGGAUUAAUUCACUUACUCAGUAUAUACAUAUAUAUAGAAACCACAAUUUGAUACAGGAAAUAUAGCAAAGGAUUAGACCUGGUCCAGCUCUCAUGAUGUUCAGAGACAGUGAUGGUUCCGGGGGCAGAGAGACGCAGUGGACAUCAAGAGGUGGGCUAAUUCAUUAUUUGAAGAAUCUUCAAUGACACACAAAGGAGUUUGAAUUUUAUCCCAUCACUACUUAUAACAGCACUUUUUUUGACACUAAUCACAUGCUGGGCAGUAUUCACUAUUUAUUAUUGUAACAACCUUAUGAUAUAGAGAGAUAUUUGUUAUCUCCAUUUUACUGACAGGGAGACUGAAGCAUGGAGUAGGUACCUAACUUGGCUAAGGACUCAGAGCUAAUAAGAGGUAGAGUCAGGAUUGAGUCCAGGUAUUUUGGCUUCAGAGUCUAUAGUCUUAUCAUUUGUAAAUAUAUAAUAUGUGGCUAAAGCGAAGCUUUUUUAUAUGAAAAAAGUAAAACAAGGUUAAUGAUGUUGGGAAAAAUCAUUGGAAGAUGCAGCAGUGUGUAUCAGAGCCUGGACUAGACUCCACAAGGCUUUAGGUCCAUUGCUGCUUCUGCUCCACAUAGAGUGUGCACUAGUGUGCAAAAACUUUGUGGAUGCACUUGGAUAAAUUAAGAGAAAUAUGUUUACACUACAAGAGGUGGUAAUGCUGCAGUCCUUUUUUUUUUUUUUUUUUUUUUUUUUUUUUACUUUUUAGGGCCAAACCCAUGGCAUAUGGAAGUUUUCAGGCUAGGGAUUGAGUCGGAGCUGUAGAUGCCAGCGUACGCCACACCCAUCACCAGAUCCGAGCCAUGUGUUUGACCUACACCACAGCUCACAACAAUGCCAGAUCCUUAACCCACUGAGCAGAGCCAGGUUCAAAACUUGGAUUCAUUUCUGCAGUGCCACAAGGCUUGCUGCAUUCUUUUGUGCUGGUGAGACUAAUAGUGAGCAGUGAGAGGGUUCAGUUGUGUCUGUCUUCCUCUCCGAAUACAUCAGCUGGGGCCCAAAGUUAACAUAUCCAAAGGUAGAAAUGGUUUGUUUUUGUUGUUCCAAGCAAGGUCAAACUUGCAGAAAGGUGCGUUUGGUUGGGUGAGGAUGACCCAGCUAUCUCGAUGUCCUUUUACUAAUCACGGCAUACGAGGUGGUAGAGUCACAAAAUACCUCAUCGUCAGCUGCCUUAGAGACUAGCUUGACCUCCCCCAGGACUCGAUCUACUGUGAAAUGCAUUCAGGCACAGGGAAUAUCAGUGAAAAAACCCCAGGAUUUAUUCCUCUCUAAAAGGUGGCUUGGAGUGAUGUCACACGUAGAAAGUGGACUGAUUCAGUUCCACUCCCAGCAUUGUUUCAAUCGAGCUUGGCACAAAGAUGAUCAAUGCUGACUCAGAGCUAUGUCCAGAUGGAGAGAGAGCCUUCUAAACUAUCACAUCCAACCCAGUCCUGGUCUACCACUCCCCCUCGAGUCUCUAGAAUCCUCACUGUCCUAUCUAUAGGGUGCACCCAUUCCAGAGGAUAAGACUCCACUCAUAUUUGGUCCUUUGCCUUCCCAGCAGGACCCCAAAACCCCCUCACCCUUUCGUCUAUGCAGACUGGCACAGAAGAAAUGAUUCUGAAAAAUAAACUAGCUAAUCAUUAGAUGAAAGCA